UGAUAGCGUAGAAGCGUGAGGUUGCUGUGCAAGACACAGGUUUUCCGUGGAGCGAAUGUCAAGUUAUAAAACUGGCGACAA
rnacentral:ncRNA from 1 species